rnacentral:piRNA from 1 species
UGUCAAAAACACGAAGUUUUCUGUC